AGAAAAUCCUUUAUAAUUUUUAAAAUUUUGCAUUUUUUUCAUCCUCACUUUUUUAUUAAUAAAAUGUUCAAACUCAACAUUCUAUGUAAAAAUUUAAAAAAAAUCGGUUUUUAGACGUCCCUUUAACUUUACCGGACCCCAAUACAAAAUGAAUACAGAAAAUGAUCGUUCAAUCUGGCAGACCGCUAGAAGACUACCACUAUCCAAGAAAAAGGAGCCAAGGAGGCAUCAUAGAACCACUUAGCAGUUCUUGGUCUUCAGGGUUGCUAGUGGUAGAAAGAUAGCUCCUCUAGAUUCUGCGUCGCUGCUAGUUUAAUAACGUGACCAAAAAGAUUGCCAUUGUCCUCUUUUUUUGCAUUUAUGACUCUUCAAACAACCUGACUGCAUCAAAGAUCUUUUUCACGCUCGCUGUGGAAAGUGGAUACUGGCAAGUGGAGAUGCACAAGUGGAGUGGACAAGCAGAGUGCAUCCUCAAGAAGAUGAGGAUGUGUGUCAUGGUAGAUGCUAGAUUAGAGUAAUUUAACACGAUGCCAUUUGGACUGUGUUAUGUUUCUUCCACUUGAAGCGGCCAAUCAAAAUGAUUUUAAGGGAACUUUCCUGGAAGACAAGUCUGAUUUAUCUUGAUGACCUUGAUUUGGACAAAAGUUGAGUUCAAAGAAAUUAUACCUGUUUUAAAGGGCUCUGCAGUAUCUGGGUCAUAUCUUUUCCAGUCAAGGACUAGCGGUUAACAAGGGAAGAGACCACAUUGUUUAAGAUUGGCCUACGCACCUAACGUAACCUGAGAUGAAAAAUUUGUACUGGACACGCGCCACCAAUAUUGGCAUAGGUUGUCCCAAACUCAGGAUGGCGAAGAAAAAAAUUUAGUAAGAUCCUGAAUAAAGAGGCUAUAUGAAUUUAAUGUUGAUACUAAACACCUAGCAGGGAGAAUCCAUGGAAACGCGGAUGUCCUAUCAUAAAGACUAUCUAGAAAACUAUAUGUAUUGUCAGCGGACAGAGAAGAAAGAUGCGCAUGUCUUAAUAAUCACCAUCGUCGCCGAUCAUUGGCAAAAUGGGAAUGUGACAUGGGGAAAACUUGAUUUUUUCGGAUUUAACAUAAAUUAAGUUAGCCAGUUUUAUGCUUUGUACGGCAGAGAGUCGGUACGGCAUGACCUGUGAGUGCAGCAAGACCUGUUUACUGCUCCAGCUGAGUAUGUUCUAGCACAUUGUGUUGCUAAGGAUUUGCAAAUAUCAAUAGUUGAGGUUUUCCUCAGAAAGUUCGGAAAAUUUUAAAAGCUGCGUCGGUCUAAUCCCGGAGUCGGGUAAGCACUUAAAAUAACUAACGAAGAUAUUGUUAGAAAGUUUUUUACCUGGUUACCAAAAAAGCAUCACAUCAGAAGCCUAUCUAUAAAGGUGUUUGGGGCGCUUUGUGUUUUCUAAAGGAGAAGUUGCUUGCCGAUAACCUCAGAAGCUGGCAUGCAAAGCCGAAGCUGGUAUACGAAAUCGGUUUAUAGACGUGCAAGUUCUGGUGUGCCGUUAUACCCCUCCACUUCGUUUUCUGGAGAAAUGCGUUGAUUGUUAUUUCUACAAAAGAUCGCCAGAAGGAAAGUUAUCGAAUCUUCCGGAACAAUGAUAGAGUCUAGCUAAUGUAUCAAGUCAGGAUAUUGGCGCAACUUUUAAAUCAAAUUGCCUACUAUUUAUUUUGUUAAAUAAAUAAAAUUUAAAUAAGUG